CUCCACUGAAAUAUUCCUGCUCUCCCAAAUAAUGAUCAUCAUUGCAAUAGUCUUGCACUUCAUGUUCUUCACGGCAAAUAGUAGGUCGACGCCCAUCACCAGUGUCAGAUCUGAGAAACCUAGAUUCCCAUACAUGAACAUGCACCAACUUCCUCAGAAAGGGACGUGUCUGCUUUGUUUUUGAGAACACUUUGGUGGAAUUCUCUCCUGUUCUCCCAAGAGCACCGGUUUGCAACAGGCGUCACUCAGACAGGAUGGAGUGCCAUGCAACAGCUUGCAAGCAUAACUCAAGCUUGAGAAAGAUGAGAUGAACCAGUCCAACGGUUAUUUAGCAAACCAGUGACACACAGAGCGCUGAACAACAUAAUUACACGACAAACCCAGACAUGCCUUUAAUUAGGCUUUCCCAUAAAGGCACAAGAUGACUUCAAAUGAAGAUGGUAAUUCUGUGCAGCUGUGCUUCAGGAGGCACAACAGCACCUGCAGUGUCAUCAAGAUGGCACAAGGCACUGAGACACCAGUGCUGGGUCCUAAACAGCAUCUCAAGAGACAAUGAAUGAUGCCCCUGUCUCCAACACACCAUUGAGAUGACACGUAUGUGCUUUCAAAUGCUGCAAAAACAGAACUGCAGGAGUCCCUUGGGGAGAAAAAAUGUCAUAUGGCCAAUAACUGUAUCCCUGUAUUGGUUGUUUAGAGAGAGAGACUCUCUAAGAGGCUUAAAAAGCACCUCACACCAAAACAUCAGAACAUUUUAAAGUUAAACAUUUAAAUAUUUUGAAAAGACUGUUUAUAAAAAAUGCCAAAUACAUUUUAAAUCAAUUUUUCCAUGUCUAUAGUAUGCAUAAAACAGUUACACCAUUUUAGAUAUAUGUCUUGUAUUAAGAAAUCUGUGUAUAAUUCAAGAUGCCAGAGUCAUGACUUCUAGAAAAAUGUUUAAAUGCUUAUAAAUACUGGAACUACAAAAAGAUUGUUUUCCCUGUACCUAAACUCAGUCUACAAGCAUUGUGAGGUAUGGUCCAACCUACAUAUAGAUGCAGUUUAAGCUUAGAUUAAGAGCUGCAAGCACAAUACCCUUAUUUAAAUAGUAAGAAUCAUUAUCAUCUAAACUAUUUCCAGUCACAUAAAAUACACAAUGGUCCCUCUUUUGAGGCAUCUUAGAAUGAUAUCAGGAAAUGGAAAACACUGGUAAGCUUUGCUUCACAGCCUUUAGAACAAUGAUGUAUACUUAUGUAUAUUGCUGCAUAAACUCAAUAGAUCUGGAACAAGCAUAAAUAUUUAUUCUAAAUCCUUAGGUCUUCAGAGUUUCAGAGUCCUGAAAGCCUAUGACUCUAAAAAUGUUCAAAUAAACCAUUACAUUUGUAGAUAAUGAACACGUUUUUACUAUCUGCUUAUUUUAUAGCAGAGAAAACUAAAAAGAACAUAAAAUCUCAAAGCUACUCUGACAACACAAAAAUAAACUGAGGUUAGUACAAACAGAAUACAACACAAGAACUACUGAAAUAAGGAAAUAGGCGUGCAGAGAAAUAGCUGG